rnacentral:rRNA from 1 species
GACGAACGCUGGCGGCGUGCUUAAUACAUGCAAGUCAACUUGACUUUAGAUAGCAAUAUCGAAAAGUAGGGUGGCGCACGGGUGCGUAACGCGUAGGUAAUCUGCCCUGAGGUCUGACAUAACCCGUCGAAAGGCGGGCUAACAUCAGAUGACAUAUAAUCACGACAUCGUGGAAAUAUCAAAUCUUCGGAGCCUUGGGAUGAGCCUGCGUCUGAUUAGGUAGUUGGCGGAGUAAUAGCCCACCAAGCCUACGAUCAGUAGCUGGUCUGAGAGGAUGAUCAGCCACACUGGAACUGAGACACGGUCCGGACUCCUACGGGAGGCAGCAGUAAGGAAUAUUGCUCAAUGGGGGAAACCCUGAAGCAGCAACGCCGCGUGAAGGAUGAAAUACUUUUGUAUGUAAACUUCUGUAAGAUGGGAAAAAUAUUCUCCUCGGGAGAAUUGAUUGUACCAUCAGAGUAAGCCCCGGCUAACUACGUGCCAGCAGCCG